rnacentral:tRNA from 1 species
GGGAUGGCUCAGUGGUUAAGAGCACUAGCUGCUCUUCCAGAGGACCUGGGUUCAAUUCCCAGCACCCA